rnacentral:tRNA from 1 species
GUCUCGAUAGCUAAGUGGUAUAGCGUGCGAUUGCAAUGUGUUAAUAUCGCGAGGUCCCGUGUUCGAACCACGGUCGGGACU